UUAAAAAAAAGUUUUAUUAAAACAAAACUGUACAAAAAAGCAGUAUACUACAUUUUAAUUACAGAACAGUCUACUGUCCAAAAGGCACUAAUCCAGAAUAGGAGAUACAAUGAUACAGGACUCAUUUGAACUAUUUUAUUCAAUACAAUAGAGCGCUUGUUUCUUUGACCAUUUACAUCUAGAAACAAGGGCUUUUUGCUACAGCCAUUACACAUUGUUAUAAAUAUGAGUCCUACGGGUGGAGGUGCAGUAUCGCUCUCCCUAGAGGAGGUUCCCAUUAGAGGGACCACCGUGGAGCUCAGAGGCGGAUGGCAGCAGUGGGUGGGGCCUGGGACCUGCCACAUGGUUGGCCCGUCAGCCCCUGGGCACCCGGAGCUUGUCUUUCAGCCUGGCCUCUGGUGGUUGGUUUCUGGCCAUUAGUGGCAGCCACUUUCACCCCCUCUUGUGUUUUAGCACCGGCAAAGUGGGUUCUGAGAAGCUCCAGGUAACUGGGGCUGGAGGUGUGGGGGAUGAAGCGUCAGCAGCGGGGAGGCAUUGUGGUAACCUGAUCUGAAGAAAGGCAGCAACUACUCAGAAGAGGGAGACGAAGCCCAGGGACAGCCGAUGAGCCGGGCUACAGCCAGGCAGAGCCACCUGCUGCUUUCUGGGCAAACUCCUGGCCCCAAAAUAUGAGGGGCUGUUCCAAAGUUCAGAGACAUCCUGUGUCCUUUCCUGGUGGAUCCAGAAAAGUGACAUCGGAUCAUCUUUUGUCUUGGAAGUUGAUUUUUACGAGUGGGAUUUUGCUUCCCAGAGGGAAGUCAAAAUACAGUGACCAGCCUGAAGUGGGGGAGCCCUUUCCCUCCCUCAGCCCCACCUCAGGACCACGAGUGGCUCCAGGUCCCAGGUCCCACCACACCGUGUAGGGGAGCUGAACUCUGCUGGCUUACCUGUCUGUGUUUGGUGGCCAAGACAACUCUAAGCCCCAUGUUUAUUCUUUAAUGGCCUCUGGACCUCAGGAAGAGAGAUACUGCAGCUUUCCAAACAGUGUCAUACACAUAUAAGACAAAGACAGGCAUCUGAUGUUAACAAAAAUAAGUAACAAAGAAAUAGGAUUAAACCAAUCUCUUCUCACAGCAUCCUAUACUACAUCCUCCUUCUGCUUAGCAGAAAAUUGUACGUACACAAAAAUACAAAUACACAAUUUUGUAGAACAGUCUGAUUUUAAUAUAUUUAUAUAUAUUUAUAUUUAUACGAGUGGCAGGUUAGUUCAUUAUAUAGAGCUUUUUGCACUUUUGGCUCAUACGCAACAAGGCUUAUAAAUUCAGCUUCAGCUUUCAUUCAGGUUUUAUAGCUUUUGAACAAUUGUUUUCACAUUUAAAGCAGCAUCCAAUUUGCACUAGGAGUUUGUGGUGAUUAUAGGAAAGACAGGGUCAGGAGGUUAUCGAAGGGGCAGGGCGGGGGAGAUACAUUCCAGUGUGUGUGGUGAUGGACGGAGGAUGCCGUGGGACAGAGCUUACCAUGAUGACCCCUUGAGGUAGACUGAACACCUUACAGCAGACUCAGACACAGGUGUGACUCACCCUCAGGGACACAUGGUGUACAAGAUGGACAGGGACUAGAGGAGACGCCAAGGGGAAACACGAAGACUAAGACACACAGCAGCCGAGGCAGGGAGGAGCGCGCUGCCCCCACGCCCAUGUGGCAGGGAUCCCGCAUGGCCCAUCUUAGAAACUCAACUUAUUUGGUGGAUGCGAAACACUUCAGGCAAUCCCAAGGCAUCUGCUCCGGGGUAUCCGACGAGAUUACAGCCGUUAAGCUUGCUUUCCAUUUCAUAACUUGCUGUGCAGCUAGUUACCACCCCCAUGCUGAAGAGUAAAGCAAAGGUGCCGUGGUUCGGCAGUGGAAUCCACCCCCAGCACUCUGCUCGCGCUGGAGCUUUCAAGUCCGGUUACGUGAGAACAGACUAGGACUCUCUUGCUGCCUCUAAUUGCAUUUCACUGUCGCCCUCCCCAGUGCUCUGCACUCUCACUUACAUUCAUCUCUUCCCUAGACAAUUACAACUAGGGUAAUCAACAAGCACUUGGUAGAACCUGCAAAAAUAGCAUCUGGAGAACUGAGGGAUGACGCACUGCCAAGGGCCUGGUUUGGUUUACAUGCUACAGAAAAGCCUCAUUCUCAUGAUCACCACAGCACUGUUCCCCCAUUCGAUCACCUUUGUCAGCCUGCCUUCCCUUCUCUAUCAGGUCAUAAUUCCACUGGCAAGUUUGCCCAUGUGUCAAAUAUGAAUACCCAGUGUUUUGGGUCAUUACAUUGUCUGAACAAAAAUGCUGGAUUAUUAAUGAAAAUAAAGUGCCUGGGUAUGGAUUGUUCCAUUUUGCAAAACCUUUUAAUGCACCAACAAAUCAUCUGAGCGCUGCUUAGUGAUGUGAUUUGAACAGAGUGCAGUCACAAAAUAAUCUGUCGUACACCCAUCACAGAAUAAAGGCCCCAUAUUUAGAUCAGACUUAAAUUAUUUUUUAAAAAAGAAACAAAUACACUCACACUCAUUUCCAAAGACACACUUUGGAUCUGAAUGCCCGACUGCUGGUUUUCCCAAGCCCUCGUGAGCAGACACCCCGAUCCCUCUAGUCUAGGAAGAGAGGGCUCGCAAAGGCAGCUGGGGUUCCAGUGGCUCAUGCUGGCAGCUGAGUCAGGCUCAUGAGCUAGGAUGAUUCGACGCUUUGCCCUCUUGGAUGUGGAUACAUUUCCAACUCCUACCAAAGCCAGAGCUGGAAUGCUGCUGUGAGGCUGUCUUGCUCUCCUGUCUUCUUAGUGGCUACUGAGAUUUCCCUAAGCAGACUUAAAUUCUCUAUGAACCAAGACCAGAACCACAUAAACAGAAACAGCCCUAAAGAAACAAACGCUGGAAAACAGUGAUGAAGCCAGCCUGCUGUGGCUGUGAAGCGAUCUCCCGCGCUAGUUUGUCCCUGCCUUGUUCUGCCUGCAGAACGCCAGGGACACUGGAGAGGGGCAGCCGCCCUGUGCCCACCCUCAAGGGCCAGUGCAGGGUGGGGAGGGAUGGGGACAGGGCACAGGCCGACUCUCUGGCAGGUUCCAGAGGUCUGUAACUUGCUUAGGCACUUAAAAAACAUAAACAAAAAUUUAUCCUUGAAAGGUACUGCAUACCCAAUGUGACCAUGGCCGUGGAAGGCAGGGCAAGCCCGGGCUGGGGGGAGGUCAUAGAAGGCGGUGGGCUCUUCCAGGGGAGGCAAUGAUGAUGCACUUGGCAUCUCUCGGCAAGGGGAGUGUCCUGCCUUGCAGCCAGGGUGUGUCUGACGACACCAGUGCUGUGAUGGCUUAGGGGCCAGGGACUUGGCCCAGCAGAGGCCUUCCCAUGACCGUGUUCUACAGCCCCCUGGAAAAGUGGCUAGAAGAGGCAGGGGUGGGGAGGCUCCCAGGGUCUAUCCAGAUGCCCGCCAUGGGUCGGGGAGGCACAGGCUGCACACGCUUUCUAGAGUCAACAUGAGGCAACUACUAGGAAAAGAGGAGGCCCUUCUGAGUGUUCCGACAAAACUGAGGAGCGGUCAGGGGACGCCCUGCCCAAGCUCCCAGUGCUUUGAAAGAAAAGCUCCACUCCCCACCUCCAGAACUUUGGUUUUGGUUUCAGGGUGCCCAUUUUCAGAGAUGCAGUAUUAAGGGGAUCACCGAUUCUAACAUAAUGAAAUGUGGUUUUCAAGGCAUACAACAAUGCUGCCUGAAAGCAGCCACCACUGAACACACGCCUUCAUGCGGCCCACUCUUCUAACUCUGUCCCUGCCCCCCGUGAAUCUGGUUUAAGAACAAGAGUUCAAUGGAACACACCAGAGUGGCUGCUGCUCACAUUAGUAUGACUGAUGUCAUUCUGUGUCCAGCUUAAUACCUCCAGCAAAUGAUGAGGUGGAAAAGUGACUCUCACGAGUUUAUGCUGGGAUCUUAGUUCCAGUAAUGGAAGGAAAGGAGAGGUUUCUGUGCUCAAAGGAAGCCACAAAACAUGACUGAAAUUUAGACUUAGCCCGAAGUGACAGGAAGUUGAAAAAGUCCUAAAGGGAAGAAGGAAUAAACCUUGAAACACAAAUUCAGUGACUUGUC
rnacentral:lncRNA from 1 species